GUGGGUGAAGGCAUUAAAAAAAACAAAGGCACAUCUAUGAGAAAAUAAUUUCAAAUUGUAAAAAAGUCACAUUUUUAGAGAAUGGAUAAAAGCGAUUGAAAAAAACAGAGGCACAUCUAUAAGAAACCAACUUCAAACUGUAAAAAAAAAAAAAGUCACAGAUGCCAACCAGACACUGCAACCAGAUCUGGUAUCUAAGGUCAGAUUUUCAACCACUUAGAUAAACCUGGGGACAGAAUGUAAUGUCAGUAGCUUAUGUGAACUGAAACGUGAAAUCCAAUUUUGAGACAGACUUCCCUUUUAAAUUAGUCACAGCAAUUUACCAGGUGAGCCUUAAGGAAAAUUCCAACUUCACACACAACAAACACCUGCCAAACGCAGCAGCAGCACGCCCCCCACCCCACACACAUACACACAUAACCCUUUUUCCUACCUCCUUCCUUAGCAACAAGAUGCAGACACACAAAGUGAACUUCAGCCUGGGAGCUGGCCGCAAGCCCAGGGUUAAACGAGUUCUCUUAAGUACCACCCCGUGGCAGCCAGAAGAUGCCACCCAAAUAGAGGAAAGGGAGACCUUGGGCUCCCCGUGACUUCGGGCGAUUCAUUCAACCCUUCGGGCUCCGUUGGCUCAAAUCAAGAUUAAGGGUUUGGUUUGGGGAUGCUGUUUGGGGUUCCCAAAGCUCUAUGAGUAAAAGGUUGGGGUGCCCCGUAUGACCCAGCUUGGCACGGGGUGCGAUGAGCAAGGAGGAAGAGGACGAGGAGUUGAAGGUGGGAGAAGGGGGAUGCUCUCCUCGGCCCAACAGCCGAGCUGCCCCCGCCCCGCCCGGGACUCUCCGAGGGAGGAGGGCGGGGAUGCCGCGCCCCCGGGGGCGCCCCUCCCUUCGCCCCCUGGACACCUGCGUUUACGCGCGCGCGUCCGGGGAAGCGACCGUCCGAGUCUAGCGCUCGUCUCCCCGCCGAGCCAACGGUCCUUACCGGCGCCCACUGCCUCGUACGCCUGCCCGCCUGCCCGCCUGCCCGCCCGAGGCUGCGGUUCGCGUCCAGUCCUUGCCCGAGGCCGCCGGGAGUCACACACCUCGACCUCGACCUCCUCCUCCUUCUCCCCAGAGUUAAACCAGGCCUGGGCAAACAUUCAAGUUGUGGGAGCUGGGAGGGAAGGCUGUGAGCAGAGGAAGCACCCAAAGUGA
rnacentral:lncRNA from 1 species